rnacentral:rRNA from 1 species
CGGGAGGGCCUCAAUGGGGAUAUCUGCCGCAUGGGCGGCAAGCGUUAUAAAACUUCCGCGUUUUUCAUGAAGCGCUUCGGGUCUAAAGUAUUUCCAGCGGCGAGAAGGCGACAGGGCAAUAACCGCAUCGAUUACGUUACCCGCAGAAGAAGCACCCGCUAAUCCGUGCCAGCAGUCGCAGUAUACGGAGGGGGCAAGCGUGAUCGCAAUUACUGGAGUAAAGCGCACGCAUGCAGUAGGGGAAGUCAGAUGUGAAAUCGCCGGGGUUAACCUGGUAAAUUCAUUUGAACUGGCAGGUUGAGUCCCGUAGAGGGGGGUAGAAUUCCAGGUGUGGCGGUGAAAUGCGUAGAGAUCUGGAGGAAUACCGGCGGCGAAGCCCGCCCCCUGGACAAAGUCUGACGCUCAGUUGCGAAAGCGUGGGGAGCAAUCAGGAUUAGAUACCCUGGUAGUCCCCGCCGUAAACGAUGUCGACUUGGAGGUUGUUCCCUUGAGGAGUGGCUUCCGGAGCUAACGCGUUAAGUCGUCCGCCUGGGGAGUACGGCCGCAAGGUUAAAACUCAAAUGAAUUGACGGGGGCCCGCACAGGCGGUGGAGCAUGUGGUUUAAUUCGAUGCAACGCGAAGAACCUUACCUACUCUUGACAUCCACGGAAUUUGGCAGAGAUGCCUUAGUGCCUUCGGGAACCGUGAGACAGGUGUUGCAUGGCUGUCGUCAGCUCGUGUUGUGAAAUGUUGGGUUAAGUCCCGCAACGAGCGCAAGCCUUAUCCUUCGUUUCCAGCGAUUCGGUCGGGAACUCAGAGGAGACUGCCGGUGAUAAACCGGAGGAAGGUGGGGAUGACGUCAAGUCAUCAUGGCCCUUACGAGUAGGGCUACACACGUGAUACAAUGGCGCAUACAAAGAGAAGCGACCUCGCGAGAGCAAGCGGACCUCACAAAGUGCGUCGUAGUCCGGAUCGGAGUCUGCAACUCGACUCCGUGAAGUCGGAAUCGCUAGUAAUCGUGGAUCAGAAUGCCACGGUGAAUACGUUCCCGGGCCUUGUACACACCGCCCGUCACACCAGGGGAGUGGGUUGCAAAAGAAGUAGGUAGCUUAACCUUCGGGAGGGCGCUUACCACUUGGAUUAGACCGGCAU